GGGCCCGCACAAGCGGUGGAGCAUGUGGUUUAAUUCGAUGAUACGCGAGGAACCUUACCAGGGCUUAAAUGUAAGUUGCAUAAGUUAGAGAUAGCUUUUUCUUCGGACUACUUACAAGGUGCUGCAUGGUUGUCGUCAGCUCGUGCCGUGAGGUGUCAGGUUAAGUCCUAUAACGAGCGCAACCCCUGUUGUUAGUUGCCAUCGAGUAAUGUCGGGAACUCUAACAAGACUGCCGGUGCAAACCGUGAGGAAGGUGGGGAUGACGUCAAAUCAUCACGGCCCUUACGUCCUGGGCUACACACGUGCUACAAUGGCCGGUACAGAGAGCAGCCACUACGCGAGUAGGAGCGAAUCUAUAAAACCGGUCUCAGUUCGGAUCGGAGUCUGCAACUCGACUCCGUGAAGCUGGAAUC
rnacentral:rRNA from 1 species